AUUGAACGCUGGCGGCAUGCCUUACACAUGCAAGUCGAACGGCAGCACGGGGGCAACCCUGGUGGCGAGUGGCGAACGGGUGAGUAAUGCAUCGGAACGUGCCCAGUAGUGGGGGAUAACUAGUCGAAAGAUUAGCUAAUACCGCAUACGACCUACGGGUGAAAGCGGGGGAUGCAGCACUUAAUGUUUUGGGAUGGCUACUUGUGGCCGCCUCGGGACAGUCUCAGGUGAGAACAUUAAGUGCUGCACCUCGCGCUAUUGGAGCGGCCGAUGUCUGAUUAGCUAGUUGGCGGGGUAAAGCCCACCAAGGCGACGAUCAGUAGCUGGUCUGAGAGGACGACCAGCCACACUGGGAC
rnacentral:rRNA from 1 species